UGGGCAACACUCGUGGAACUGGUUCGACCC
rnacentral:piRNA from 1 species